AGUAAGAGAAGCCAACUUUAGGAGCAUGCUCAUACCCUCAGUGGUAGAGUCUACCUACUGUGUCCCCAAUGUUGGCAGACAGCAAGCAGAAAUUAAUGGUCAUUUAUUGGAAUCCUUUGACUUCAUGAUAUGGUGACUUUGAAUGGUUCUCAGGAAUCCAUUCUUUGAGAGUUUGGAUGUUAUUCCCAUUACUGAAUGUAAAAAGACAAUUCAGAAACAGAGGCAAUCAGAAUUCCUCUCUGGAAAAGCCCCUGUUUCUCCUUCGAUGUGCACAGAAACUUGUCUUCAACUGCAGUACAUUGUCAUACUCUACAAGAUGACUGUGAAAUUGUACAAUGCUUAUACUCACAGAUUUCUUUUACAAUACAUUCUCCUCAAGCCUGUGAAUUUUUCUUUAACUGACCAGGUAAGCAAAUUUACAUACUCAUAGAAUUUUUUUGUAAAUAUGUUUUCCAGACAGUAGGCAAUUCAUUCUGAGACUGGUGUUGGUUUGUUGGACAAAAUCUGCAAAAUCUAUUAUAAAAAAAGUUUAAAAUGCUGUUUUCAGUUUCCAAUUAAAAAAAAAAAAAGUCGAAAUCUCCCAAAUUCUUUAAAUUUCAGUUAGAAACUCAGUUUAUUUUCAAGAUAUGCUUAAUUUUAUUAUUUCUCUCCAUUCUUCUUUUUUCUUGUCGUCUUAGUUUCUUCACCCUUUCUGUUGAUAUUUACAAUUUACAAAUGGAAUUUUUUUUGCUGGGUCAGUCUCUCUCUGCCUGGCUGGGUAUCAGCAUUGCAGACAGGAUUGUCUGUUGAGAACUCAAGAUAAUGUUUUGUCAACACAGGCAGGAAUGGAACAGCAACAGUAGAGUGGCUGGUGGAAAGUGGAAGUGACUUUGGAAAUUUAUGAAUGCCAUUUCUGUAGAGCAGAAAUUAAUAAAUGCAACAAUGUAAUGAAUGCA
rnacentral:lncRNA from 1 species